ensembl:lncRNA
AAUAAAUAAUAAAUAGAGCAGGAAAAGAAAGCCAUAAUUCCAGACACAUGGCUGGAAAUAUCUCUAUUGAUCUUUGCUCCCCCACAAAACCCACAUAAAUAUAUAAUGGUAUUAUUGAACCAGACUCCACCAAGCAAAUGAACUGUGGUAUUUGAAAUAGACAUCUGUGAUAUUAUGGAACAAAAAUCCAAAGAUGAGGUAAGAAGAUUCUCUCUCUCUCUCUCUCUCUCUCUCUCUCUCUCUCUCUCUCUCUCUUUCUCUGAGGGAUAGUCAAUUCAUUUCUAAUUUCUGUUCCUAAAAAUAAGGUCCUCAAAGCAUCCUAGAUUCUCAGAGUUGGAAGAAAUCCUAGAAAGAAAUGAGUCAUCACUCCCCCCCAAUAAGCUUCCAUCUGCAAUGCUUAGCCCUACAUUAUAUUAGGAUAAAUCACUCUCUAAUUUAAAUACUAGAGCACUUUAUACUUGCCAAAGGUCACAUGUAAAUGUAGGACAAAGAACCAUCCUUGAUCCUAGAGAAGCAGAAGUCAGUGUCCAAAAGGGUUUCCAUUCACAGGGCCACUUCUCUGGUGCAGACAGGAACAGCAGGCAGGGAGGCAGGCAGAGAAAUAGAAGUAGUCAGGAGGUUCUGUAUCUACAGGAAUGCCACAAGGUGUGGCUUCAGAGCAAAGCCUGGUGUUCAUUUGGAGUGUGUGGAAGAGGAAGGAAAGCUGCUCCUAAAAUCUAAUUCCCCCAUAUACUGCCUGUCCAGGAAAUAAUCCAUGCAGGAAUGUGAGGGCCUUGUUCAUUCUAACUCCUGCUUUCCUGGCAAGCGACAAAGGCCUCCUAUUUUAACUUCACUGUAUUAGAUACUUGUCUCAUUGCUCUGACAAAAUGCCUGGCCAAAGCAAUUUCAGGGGAGAAGGGUUUCUUCUGGAUCACUGUCUGAGAGUAAGUCCAUCCCAGUGGGAAAGACACGGCAGCAGGAACAUGAGGCAGCUGGUCACAUUAUGUCCACAGUCUGGAAGAAGAGAGAGAUGAGCACCGAGGCUGAGCUAGCUUUCUCCUUUUUAAUUCAGUCAUCCAUUUAGGGUAGAUCUUAAUUAAGCAAAUCUAGAUAUGCCCUCACAGGCAUGCCCAGAAGCUUGGUCUCCUAGGCAACAAUCAAUAGUAGCCAUCACACCAAGUUUUUCUCAAAAUAGAUGAUAGGCAUUUGUUCACUUGCAAAGUGAACAAAUGGCACAGGUGACAUUUAACAUUGCAUGGCCAUGUGACAUGCAAGAGGAUGUACCAGAUCCAGACUCAGUAUUUCUUUCUGUCCCACAGAAAGACAGAACCUAUUUUAGACUCCCAGAUGAGAAGGGAAGACAGCUAUGCAGCCUCUCACUCCCAGGUGUCCCCCACUCACAAAGAGAGAAAUUGACCUAGGAAAAGACUAUGCUGGAAAAAAAGAGGUGGGUAGAAAUAGAAAAAUCUCUAAGACUACAGUCCCCAGCUUGGAGGGAGGAGCCAGAGGAGACAUCUUCUUUGCAAGGACUUGUGAAAGAGAACGAGGCACACUUGUCUUCUUGUAGUCCUAGACGGCUUAGUGUAGUUAAAAAUGCCUAAGAAUUACUCUCUGUAGGUCUCCAGUCAACUUGACCAUUAUAACAGCAAAGGCAACAGUACCGUUACUGAGAAGAAAGCAUCCCCACUUAGGUUCAAGUUCCUGACACUUUACUUUGAAAUGCAGAUUGAGAAGUUGAUUCUCCACACUGCAGUUCAUGGUCACCAUCCAAGAUAGACUCAAAAGAACCAGGAUUUAGACAGGGAGGCAUAUAAAACCCUGCCUCACCUAUCUCUGGAGGCUUUUCUUUGGCCCUCAUACAUCGUCCAUCAAAAAUCCUUUGUGUUUUCUGGAGCUGGAGUCAUAGGCAGUUGUAAGCUGCCUGAUGUGUGUGCUUGGAACAGAGCUCAGGUCUCCUGCAAGAGUGUGGUUCUGACUUCUGAGCCAUUUCCCCCAAAUGCUUCUUGUGGCUUCAGAGAUGACACACUGGGUAAAGCACUUGCUCCACAAGGCUGGCCUGAGUUUGGAUGCCCAGAAGCCACAUCAUGGCUGGGGACAAAGUGCACGCUUCUGUAAUCCCAGAGCUGCUAUGGGGACAUGGGAGGCAGGGAAAGCUCCAGAAGCUUGAGGGCCAGCAAUCCUGGAGUACAGAGCACUGAAUGACAGGAGAGUCCUUGUCUGAAACAAAUAGAGUGCUUGCCUAGCACACAAGAAGCUCUAGGUUCAAUUCCCAUCAUGGCAUAGACCUGUAAUCCCAGCUCCUGGGUGAAGGAAGACAGAGUGAUGUGUACCAAGAAAGCAUACAGGGAAUCUUUGGAAGGCUCUCCUGACUUUUCAUCUCUUCCUUCUUUCCAAUAGAGGUGAGGCCAGGCAGAGAGGGGAGCCUUGGAGAAGCCUGCAAGUGCAGGCAGGGGCACAGCUCUGCUUACUUCUGCCAGUCGUGUGCACUUUACAGUUGUGUAAUGAGAUGGCUCUGGCUCUGGCCUUGAGUUUUUAACAGAGUACAAGGAAAAAACAGAGGCUGAGGAGAUGGCCUGGUGGGCAAAGCACUUAUCACCUGAGCCUGAGGACCUGAAUUCAAGCCCUCAAAACCAAAAACAAAGGGAAAGGAAGCAACCUGGCUCAGCAAGUACCUGCAGGGCUGUGCAGGCAGAGACAGGAGGACGUCUGCAGCUCAUGGGCCAGACAGUCUAGCCAAUGUGGUGAGCUAUAGGUUCAGUGGGAGACCCUAUUUCAAAGAACAAGGUGGAGGGCUGGCUGUGGUGAUGCUCACCUUUGAUCACAGCACGUGGGAGGCAGAGGCAAGUGGAUCUCUAUGAGUUCAAGGCCAACUUGGAAGAACAGAGUCACAGGAUAGAACUGGACUCUGUGGCCCCAUCCAAGAGUUGUUUCUAGUUCACACCUGUGAGCUGCUGCCCACAGCUGUACAUGGCUGGGUGAAAUGUGCUGAAUUCCCAGCUGUACGUUCAUUUUGGAGUUUGACAUACUUAAUGAUACCUUCUACAAUAUGAACCAGGCAGAAGGAAACUGAUUUUCCUGAGUAAACAUCUCAUGUGGAAAUGUGCUAGGUGUUAGGAUUCAGGCAUUAUGCUGGCCUGCCCCUGUCACCUGGCAGAAUGCACUCAGGCAGUACCCUGGUCAGCCCAGGGUUCCAUGAGUGUGUAGUCUGCAAGCAAGUGCAAAGGAUCCCUUUAAAAGAAAGACCUCCCAACCACUUAUGCUCUAUUUCUGCUCCCUUCUCUUUGUCCGCUCCUCUUUCCCACUGCUCCCCUGGGGCAGACAGGACUUCUCCUGUCUCCCUCUUCUAUUCUGUCCUGUAUCCAUGUCUUUUUACCUCCUUUCUCCUUCCUUCCCCAUCCCUUCUGUUUUUAUUAAAACUUCUCACUUAAGCUCUGUUGCCUGGCAUGUUUGUCCCUCUGCCUUGGUCAACCUCAACCCCCAUGGAAUCCACUGAGGUCCCCCAAGAAAGGUCCCCCUCAAGCUUUAUCAAAACACUAAGUGUAACUUUCCUGACUGGGACAGAAUUGACAAUCUCAAAACAGCUGGCAAGACUUCUCCACUUUCCUGGUCAUUUAUUCUUAGAUGCCUUUCUUUCUCUCCUUUUCUUCUGUCUCCCCUUCCCUGUAAUGUAAGUCUUUCUGCCAGCUGCUGGAGUUCCGCCUGCUGUGUUAGGGCCCCAAAUAACACAUGGAGACUUAUAUUAGAUACAAUGCUGGUGGCCAAUGACUAGGAUUUCUUAUCUGCUAUCUCAGUCUUAAUUAUCAACCAUAAUCAUAAGACACCCGCAGAAUGUGUUCUGUCUUGCCAGGAUCACAUGGCAGCGACAGAGCAGAGAGCAGGAAGAAG